AAAGAGCUAGAGCCCAAUUACAGUUUUAGGUGAUCUCUGGACUGGCUGGGUGACAGCUUAUUGCUCAGUUUUCUGUUUAAACAAACAAAAAAAAAACUUUAUGUAUUUAAACUGGGAGAUUAUCAUCUAUGAGCUAGAUUUGUUUCUGAUAGCAGUUGACACUCAUUAUCAUGUUUAGCUCUUGGCAACCUUGAACAUUGUUAUAAUACAGAGUCACCCAAACAAAAGUACCCCGAUGAGGAAACGGUGCAGCUGGUUGAGAAAUUGUGGAAGUGAUAGUGUUUUGAAAUGACUGGGGAGGAAAAAAACAAAAACUAACACUUUUUGGGUAUAGUUUGGAAUGUCUUCUGUGUGUUAGAAUUGCAGGAGAUAAAGCAACAUAAGUGAGGAAAACAAGCAUGCUACCAAUUUCAGUUAUGUUUGUAAAAUUAGAUGUUUUAAGGUGUAAUUAAAUGGUCUAAAAUGGUAAUGUCCUAAAGAUGUUGGAAAUAUGCUGGGUUUAAACAUUGCACGGAGACGUUGACUUAAAAUCCUACUUCCUCUUUGUUUUUCUGCUUGUGGUAACAUUUUUUUGUAGGCUUAAACUUUAUAAAAUGUAUGAUUUUGUGGCCAUGGUCAGCAAAUGUUGUGCACUGCCCAGCUUCAUUGCUUCUUGUAUGAGAACCAAAACUAGGUAGCUGUGGCUGAAUGAAGAAGGGGAAAAAUAGGUGUUAUCCGCAGACUUAUCUUUAAAAGACUUUUUAAAACAUAUGAAGUGUUUUUUCUUCAUCAUAAAGUCUUUAGCAUUUCCUUUUUGCAUUGUAGCUUAAUUUGUAAAGAGUGUAAGAAGUUCUAAACUUUGAGUGCAAGCUCCUGUAGCCUACAGCUUUUCAGAAAUGCCUUGCUUUCUUCUGCUAAAGGACUCUCAUUUUAUUCUCUUACUUUCUUAAAUAGCUUUUUUUUCAGCCUACAGACAGCAUUUCUCUUUUACUGUUAUCCAUGCAAUUCAGUAACUAAUCACCAAGAUGAGAAUUGAUCUCUCCUUAUGAUUAUGAAUAUCUGAAGGGUAUUAAAGAUGCCUCCAAACCAAUGUUAGUUUCCCAAACCAGUGUGUAGCUGGUAUAGUGAGGCAGCAGAGAGAUGAGAUAUUUAUUCCUUUUUAUAGAAGAAGCAGGGGUGCAAAGGUGAAAUGGCUUUACCCAAAUUGUUGUGGAAGCCCAAAACAGACUUGGACACCAAACCCAGCUCUCCAGAGACCUGAGUCUGUGGCUGAUACAGUGAGCUGAUAGAGUAAAGCAUUGUAGUUUUUUGCUAGUUUCUUAUUUCAUGGUGUUCUUUGUACUGAAUGUUCUUUACCUUGUGUCACUUAGACCACAGCACCCCAGUCUUGCCUUUACAGACCUUGUGGCUGAAGUUCCCUGAAAAUGCUUAUGAAGCAAUUGGUUUGCGUAAGUGGUAAUGUGCUCCUGAGGCUUUGUGCCAGUACAACUUCAUGGACUAGGACCUCGACCUCUAGUUUGUUCAAUUAAGCUCUUAUCUCACAUGUGCCUGGAAGGCUGCCAUCACACCGUAGUGCUUUUUUUAUCAUGUGUGGACAGCUGCUUGGCUAAAACCAGAUGAAACACCCUUUGCUGUAGGACAGACCAUGUUGUGAGUAAGCUUGGUAGGGUCAAAAUGAAGUAAAACUCCUAGUUGUUCUCCACACAGUGUUGGAUGAGAGAAAGAGGAGGUUCUUGUUUCUUUAGCUCAUUCAUUCCUAGCAUAGUAACGGGAUGUCCAGUGCUGGAGGACGUGGUCACUGGGAUGCAUAGGAACUCUUGCAUAGGAACUCUUGAUUUCUUGCUCUGUUGUAAUCUCUCUUGGUAGAUUUUCAUGCAGGGGGAAGCACGUCCCUCACACCCGUGGCCAGAUUGCAUUCCAAACCCACAGUACUCAGUUUUUCUAUGGAUUCGUUCAACCUCUUGCUCCUGGUUUUAGUAAUUUGUCUUUUGGCUUAGCACACCAGGGGAUCAGGUUAAUCCGAUUGCUGUUUUCCAUCAUAUGCGACCACAUUUCCUUGUGAGUGGGAACUGUGAAAUAAUCCUAAAACUAUAUAUCACUUCUCUGCUUUUGAAAGAUGGCUUACUCAUUAAAUGCCCCCUCUGUACCUCUGAAUGAUGCUUACUCUCCAGAGCACAGAACAGAGUUUUGGGGGAAAUUUUCAUCUGAAGGGCGUUGUGCAAACCUUUAGCAGCAGCUAUGAAGUGAGGUGUUUGGAACAUUAGAUGCUACGGAAUGGUGUGGGUUAGAUUCUGACAUCAGUCCUGCCUGAACUGGCUACCUGGUACAGUCUCACCACCCGAUGUAUGAAGAAGUGAAUCAGCUGGCUUACAUCUUCAGUGCUUAAGAAGCAGUUUGGCUAUGGUGUAAAUGUGGUCUUCAGAAGUGCUUGUUCUCCUGUGUACAGUGACAAUAUCUACCCACUAGAAGUGAAUUUCCAGGAAAGCAUGUGACUUACGUUGUUCACCUUACUUUCGCUAAUAGAGAGAAACUAAGAGCAUUCAUCAGAAGCAGCAAGUUUUGCAUUGAGUGAGGAGCCUUGUCUCAUAGCAGAUGUACUCAUUUGCAUGGAGUGAGCUAAUUUCAGAUGAUCAGCUCAGAAUGGGUUCAUCUAAUUCAGCAGCUAAAUCUGCCGUUUCCCUCUGAGAAGUGCAGAGAGAAUUAAAGUCAUCUGUCCCUGUGCAGACAGGGGAAGGAGAUGAGGAAUACGCAGAGAUUUUGGCAGGUUUAGUUAGGCCUCUUGGUCUGGUGAGAUAACUGUAUUCCAAUAAAAUGAAAAGUUUUUCCUUAAAGCUUUUUAUUGAGAAUUCAGUAUGAAAAUUGACACUUUAUUUAAAACUAAAAAUAAGCAAACAAAAAAAAACAACACACACAAUAAAGAAAAUUACAUGGUCUUGGGUAUUUAGCUGAGAAAAUAAUCUUCCUUUUAUCCAGCUGUACAAGGUAGUGGAUGCUAGAUUUCUGUAAGGCAUGUGUGAUGCUUUUAGGUAAUACGAGAGUUGCCAUAAUCUGAGCAGACGAUGCAAACGUGCCAGUUGUCGUGCUUCAACCUCAGUGGAGUUGCCAGGGUUGCAACAGCUGCAACUUUUUCAGUGGUGAUGGGACCCAAGGGGUAACCUGAAAUAUUCAAGUGCCUUUGUGAAGUGGGUAAUCCUGGGUACUCUUGGGUAUUCUUUGGUUUGCCUUUUGUCUGUGUAACUAAGGAAGUUUGGUUACUUUGGAAGCCCAGGCUUCAAAACACAGUAGGGCUGAAUAUCAGCUGUUAGAAACACCAAAAUAAUUUCUGCAGAUCCCAACCUUCUGGAGUCUGGAGGAUAUGUGCUGUUCUUCCCCCUAGGAUGAUGUGUUGCUGAAAUGCUUCUGCUCCCUUUGUCGUGGCAUUGUGGCAGUCCCUUGUUGUAAAAGCUGCCCUGGAGAGGAAAUGCUCUACCCCUAGUGAGAGUGGUGUGGCUGGCAUAGAAGCUGAUGUGCUCCGUGGCCAAGUGAGCUUCCUUUUUAUGUCCACUCCUCUUCCCCUGCGGCUUUCUACUGCCAGCAGUCGAUUCCUAUUCAUGUUUAAGGAUCAACGUCGGGAGUAUUUUUCCCUUUAUCCAAAUUUUAAUUUAGUUCCAGUUCUUCCUCCCUGUUACCCCAUGCGUGGUGUUUCCUUGAACGUAUCUCAGAGGACAGCACUUAGCAGCUGUGCCCCAGGAGGGAACAAAAACUGAAUUUUCAGGCAACAAUAAAACUGCCAGUGCAGUUUGAUGCUAUUUCGGUGAAAGUAUAUGGGACAACCAACUGGGCUUGGAUAACAGCACUAUAAAUUCUACCUGGCUCCCCCAGGCCUCUCGUCAGCAGUGCUGCCAGCCAGGAGGAGAUGAAAGAACAGCUGAGAGCAGCAGAGAGUGGUUUUAUGGGUUUGGCUGCAGUUCCGAUUGUACUUCUCCCCGUGCUAAUUAAGAAAACGAAUGAUUAGCACAGAUCAGUGGAGACUGGUAGCAGCGUGCCCUGAGGAGCAUUAGCCAAAGGGAUUUGGGGUGGGGGGAGAGGCUGAGCUGGGCACCCAGUGCUGCUGGCGACAUGAGGUGGCGGUCGGGGCGAGCCUGCAGCCAGCAGAGGGCUGGCUGCUGCUAAUCAGGAAGUGGGCAUUUUGCAGAGGUUUUGGCUUCCCUUUCAAAUUUUGAACUUGACUCAAUUCUGUAUGACUCAGGCUAGUUUGACGCUUCCAAGAGACGGGCUCAGGCCGUGCCCGCUGCGGGAUGCCAAGGACCCGCGGCCCUGCCCGCCAUGCUUGUACGCGGGAGGCGUGGGCUGCCGUAUUCACAGCGAAGGUAGUUUCUGGUGAGCCCUAAAACCUGGCAGGACAGUGAAGUGAAGCACGUUACAGCCUGGGUGCUCCUUGCAAGUGAUCUCGAGCACCCUCCCCAUGCAGACUGGGCCAUUCUGGUGCACUCAGAGCUGCUGCAUUACCUGGCAACAGGUGAUCAUGUAGCUGUUUCCAUCUUAUUGGGGAGGAAGGCUGACUUUAAUACUGCAAGGGGAGUUUUAGUUCUGAAGGCUGCACGUGCUCAUGUCUGUAUUGCAAGGCUUGAAACACUUGGUCUCUCCAGUCAGAGCCAGAAACCAGAAGAACCUGCCAAAGAACCUCAGAGGAGAGAACCGCAGAGGAGGAGCACAGGUUAGGAUAAUCCAGGUCAGGAGGGAUUUGUGCAAGUCUCUAGUGCAGCUCCUGCUCAGGGCAGGGUUAGCUUUGAGAUCAGAUCAGAUUACCUAGGUGUUGAGCCAGUUUGACCAUAAAAGCCUUCAAGGAUGGAGACCGCAACCUCUGGGCAGUCUGUUUAUGGGUUUGUUAGUUAAAAUAAACUGACACUUGGUUAUUGUUCAUUUUAUAGCUUUUAGUUCACAUUUUCAUGUCUCUAAGCUUUCUGUAUGCGUUUAAAAAAAUCCAUGUCAUGGAUUCUAAGCAAGUUCUAGGAAAAGAGUAGGGGUUAAUGCAUGCAUUUCAAGAAUUUGCAGGUGAAGCAAUAUUCUUCACAUUAUUUUGCUUCCCUCUGUUUAUAAUCUACAGUCUUUUGUUGCUUAUUUUUUCUUCCACAGUACCCAACACACCUCUAUAGCAGUGGUAGAGGAAGGAUUCUGUUUUCAGUAUGUCCUGGGCUGCUUCUGAGGCUAUUUUAGCACCUUUCCUAGCUGAUUUUCCUGUCUGUAUUUGUAGGCUGUCUCCUUCAAACUGGUUUUUACUGUCAUUCCAGCGUUCUUCAGGUGAAUUCCACCAAGGCUGUGAUAGCUCCUAAGUUGUGCCCAAACUAUCUGAAGAGGAACCAUCCUAGAACAAUUCUUAGGAGGAGGACUUUUGGCUCCGGGUGCAGCCCCAGCUCCAUGAAGCUGCCGGUGAAGUUCCUGCUGACUCCGGUAGGGUUUGGCAUUCCCCAGCUCUUGGUUCCUUCCUGCCCGCCUUCAUUCAGCUUCGCCUUGGGGCUCAGCUCUCUUCUCUAGCCCUUCCCUGCCACUCUUGUCUCCUUAAAAGACGAUAGAGGUGUAGAAAUAGCAUAUUUUGCAGUCUUCAGAAAGGUUAUUUUGUGGUUUCCUGGAGAGUCUAAGCUUGCGUCUAGCUUGCUUGUCAGUACUUUUUUUUUCUUUCUCUUGUGAAACUUAUAUGCUGAAGGCCCAGUCUCACAGGAAACCAUCUUCAACCAAACCACAGCAACAGACGUAUCACACAUAUCCCCCUCCCCAAAACACUCUGAAAGAUCACAUAGGUGGCACAGUUUCACAGCCUGAAGAAUUUCACCCUUUGCAGUGGGAAUGCACAGAGUGAGCAGGAAAUCCCAAGACGUUCCACUGCCUCUGCCUCAAAGGGCCAGCCUCGGCUCAGCCUCAUACCAAUUCCCCUUAGGGUUUUUCUUCUGCUGGGGGUGUGGUGCAUGACAUCUGCCUCCAUCACAGUUAACUACAGUUAGCAGGAGGUCUCCUCCAGGCUGUGCACAUGCUGCAGAGGUUGCACAUCAAGGUCACGGUGGGUUUUCACCAGGUUGGACUAAACUUCAGAGCAAGUACGAACCUUUGUGAAGUUGCCACUUGUUGCCCACCUGUCAUGAUCCUUUUCUUCUGUUCGUCAUUGUCCUCUGCAAGCCUUGGGUUUAUUUUUUUCUGCUAAAAGUUAACGCUGUCUGUUAGUCAUUCUUUCAAUGUGUUAUCUCUGUUUUUAGAUAAUGCUGUUAUAUUGGUUACCAACAUACAGAGCACAAACAAAAUAUCACUAACAAAGCCAUGUCAGUAGUGGUCAGUGAGUUUCGUAUUUGAUUGAACUUGCUAAUUUUAAGUACUGCUUUUUCACACAAAGACAGGAGUUGUCACAGUUAGUUGGUCACUGUCUGGGAUCAGGAGAAACAAAUUUCUACAUUUUAACUAGGCAGUCAGCUAUACUGUGAGCAUGAAAAUAAACCAGUUGUAUUCCAUCUUUAAGGGUGGUAAUCUUUUGUUAGCUCCAUGUAGUGGUACAAGGAAUCGUUUCAACAGAAGGUAAUAGAGGUAACAUAAUAAGUUAGGAUGAAGUCAGAAUUGGAACUUGGAAUUUAUGUUGAAAAGUCUAAAUCCUGCCUUGUCCAGAGGUUAGUGAGCAUCUGAAACUGUUGAAUUUUUGUCUCAUAUCCAGGUAUAUCUGCACAGAAUUUAAAACAUCUUCAUAGGACAAUAACAUAACUUUUAUUCUGAUUUGACAACAAAGCCUUGUGGAUGAAAAUAAGAAGCCGUGGGUUUGCGUGACACUGCAGCUUGUUGUUAGAAGAAUCUCUUCCUGUGUAAUUCCUUUUGGACUGCUCAGACUCCUCGGGUUUAUCUGAGUUUUCCCAACCCUGGAUUAAUUCCAUCUUUCUGCUUUUUCUCAAGAUUUGUAAUAGGUUGGUGAAAGGCCAAAUUCUGUUUCUGGUAUUGGUUGACAAAAUUAAUUACAUACUCUACCUUUUUUUUAAUUUAGUGUUUAUUUCUUAUAACAAGAAAAAUGUUUCUUAUCUUCUUAGGCCUGACCACUGUGCUACAUUUUUGUAGUAUUUUGAAUAAAUUAUUAGUGUGAAGGAUUUUUCCUUUCUUUCCAUGUCUUUCUGGUGUUUACCCAUUCUUUAAAGCACCACUUUUCUAUUGUUACAGGAGAUUGGAAAGACGUGGGGGAAGGCCAAGAGCUGAAGGCCAGGGAAGCCCCGUUCCCACUGCUCUGGGAGGCCGUAGCUGCUGCUAUCUGCCCGAAGCUGGGGGUAUGGGGUCGGUCUGAAGGUGGCUGCUCUCAACACACAGCACCUGCAGCCACCACACCUGUUCUGCAGGUGGAAACUCACCUGUGCGUGAUACCCAUCCUGUGGUCUCCACAGGUGUUAUUUGGCCUCUUGCAUAGGCUCCGAAAUCUCAAACCCUUUCCUGCAGGCAAGGAAAAAGACCAGAACCACUUGGAUUUAACACUCUGCAGCUUCCAUGACAAGGUGAAGAAGCCUGGGAGGUGUUGUGUGUAAGGAGAUAAUGCUGCCAUUCCUGUUCUCUGUUCCUCAUCCUUCUCUCAAGUUUUUGCAGGGUUGUUGCUUUGUACAUCUGUCGUGGGCAGAUGGCUUGUGCCAAAGUAAAAAGGGAAAACUUUUAAAAGUAUUAGGAGCAGACUGAAGCAGGAGAAAGAUGAGAUUUGUAUGGCAGAGGGGGGAUUUGAUGUAGGGAACGUGGCAGCUGUGGUCAUUUCUCUCUUGUCCAUGCACUGCUUUAUCCCUGCCCUACAUCUUCAAAGCCUUUAUACCUUAUAUACCUUUAUAUCUUAUAUACCUUUAUACCUUACAUACCUUUAUACCUUAUAUUCCUUUCUACAUCUGUCUGCGGGGCUCAGAAACAAGACCUGGAGCCUCGCUGUGCUUCAUGGCUUACCUACAAGAAAAAUAACCAAACUAAAAACAACUGUCAUUGUUUGUAAGCCUCUGGCAUGGCACAGCUUGAUGGCAGGGAGGUGAGGAGCACGAGGGACCUGUCCAGGAUGGGUGCUGUGCCCCACGUGGCCAGGAGAUAAGGCAGAGCCCUGGCCGCAUGACUGCGAAAUAACGUCUGGCACACAGCAGCGCUGACUGCAGGUACAGACCGCAGUAGCUGGAUGGGCAGACGGGGGGAAAAACCCAGAAGAAUUUGAAAAUCUGCUCAAAAAAAGAAAUGGUUGGCUCUCUGCACGGUGCAGUAGAAGAAACUGCACACGUAACAGUUCGAGUAAUGAGCCCGAAGAGGCCACACGGCGAGAUCAAAGAUUUUUUUUUGGCGUGAUGUAGCAGUGAUGAAAACUGCCAGAGGAUGUCGCAGUCGAUGACUUAAGGAUGGAAUUUCCACACUGCUUGUGAGCCCUCUUGGUUAUGCAGGGGUGACGCCAGCCCUGCAGGGUGACUUGAACGCUGAUGGUUUUGUAACAGCCUUCAACACGCAGCCACUGCAUUUGGGUUGGGAGCUCAGCGCUCCUGUCUCGGGAGUGAAUUGGUGACGUUUCCACGUUCCUGUCCAGGAAAUGAGAGAAAUCCUCGCCUGUUCCUGUACGGUCAGAGGAGGCUGAGGAGAGAGGAGGUCUUGGAUAGUUCUCAGAAAGAAUGAAUGAAUCCGCCCAGGGAUGUUACACUGUCUGGUGCCUUUCUGGAUGCUCUUUGGAGCACAUCCAGGGAUGGAUUUCAUCUAACAGGAACGAGGAGCUGUAAAUAACUCAGCUUUUGCAGUUCUCAGUUACAUUGCUCUGAUGUUGAUUCUGGUUGCUCUCUGAGCAGAGACAAGCAGACCUGUGCUGGUGGGUAGCACUGCAGUAACACAAAACCCUUCUGCCAGAGCUUUGUGUGUCUGGGUGUCUGCUUUCGAGGUGGGCAUUUCAAGGCUCGCUCCUGCUCUUCUGAAGCACGAGGUGAACGUGUCUAAAGAGGAGGGUGGGGGGGAGUAGGUUUCCCCAUCCAUAAUUUCAGGAUUUUAGCUCCUGAUGUUGUUGGUAUUUUCACAGGGUCACCUGAGGUCAUUCUUACUGUAACUUCUUGGAGGACUUCUAGGCUAUUUAUUAUGUACAUGAAAUGUGUCCCCCUGUGAUAUACAGACAUGGUUUCACAGUGACUAAUGAGACUAACACUUUUGUAUCAUUCUUGGAAUGGUUUGCAAACCUCUGGCCAAAUAAAAGCUAAGCUGGACACUGAGAUUUCACUAUUGCAUCGAAUUUUGUGGCAUGACAAGCUUAAAAACAUGGUGUUCCAGGAAAACUUCAUCGCUGCUGCAGUAAAUACUUCUAUCUGUCAGCCCAGGUUUCGUGACAAAUCGCUGUGUUCGUAUGUGUGCACCUGUCCCUGCUCAUGGCUCCUUGCAGAAUUGGUUUGAAUAAGUUAAAGUGAAACACGUUGUGCUGUUGUAGCUGUUAUCCUUUGGCUCUCAUUAAAAGCUUUCUUCUGAGCUUCCUGUGCAGAGCCCUGCAGCCCUGCAGCAGGCUGUGGGUGAUGAAAUCAGGGAAUUUCAGCGAGUCAGAGAAGGAAGUGAACGUUCAGUUCUCCUGCACGAGCGUGUUCAAAACUACCCUGGUAAAACAGGGGGGGUAAAACAAGCUGAAUUAACUCCAGCAAGCAACUUCUUGUUCCAGCAGAGAUGCCAUGUCACUGCCUUUUCCAAAGUGAACAUCUCCAAGAGUGUGGAGCUUUGUGAGCUGAGUCCUAAGGCAGCUGUGCUGUCCGCAUGGCUUUUGGUUAAGGUUAGCAGCGAAGCAAAUGCCAUGUUCUGGUGCUGGCAGGUGGUUAACCAGAGGGAAUUUCACUUUGCUGCGGAGAUGGGAAACCACAAGACGUGCGCCUUCCUGCAGGCUAUGCAGUGGGCAUUCAGAAGAAAUCCUGGGGGUGGAGGAUGUGGGGAAGAUGCUAAAAAUUCAACUUGAGAUUCCUCUGCUCCAUUCAGAGAAGCUGUAAGAGAUUUCUCAGGUGGGUGGGGAAGGAUGUGUGGCACCACACGUCUGAGAGCUCCUUUUGUUAGCCAGAUCAAGAUGUAUACUUGGGUUAUAAUGGGUUCACUUGAAUACAGAGGGCAUUUCUUCCAAGCACCUUCACCAAAUGCUGUGCCUCGUGAUGCAGGUGUAGUAAGACUAUUAAAAGGGACCUAUUUGAGUAAGGCACGUUAAAAGAAUUAAUAGAAAACUGUUUUGGACUAGGAGCUUUGUGGUGAUGACACAGGGGGCUGCUCUACUGUAUGGCAAACACUGAGCAAAACACCUUUGUCUCCUGAACAGACGAGCUGAAGGUGGCCUGCAAAUAAAUAGAACCUAGUUGGUGAUGUUUUAUGUUUUGUCUAUCAAGAGUAGAAUAUUUGGAGGGGUUUUAAGGGAAGAAGGCAGUGUAAAUGAAUGCCAGAAACCAGUUGUUUUUGCUUGCUUUGUACCGUAGGAAUAUCUAUCCUGUCAGUUGGAUUGCUACCUAGAUUGGCCUUUUUUGGUGCAUUUUGGGGGAAAAUUUGAGUGAAGAUAUCUGGAUGCAAAGAACAUUCUGUAACGUCAGACACUUUGCAGUUUUAAUACGUCCUUCAGGCAGAUAAUGCUGGAGAGGUGUUGCAUGUGAAUGACCUGCUGGCGUACAGUCAUCAAGAUGAAUUUCAUCACUGCUCAUCUGCUGAUUUCUGCUCUGAUAUGUCAAUUUUGCAGGUACUCAGGUCUUGCUAGAAUGAGUGGGAUUAAAAUCAAUUAUACAACCCCCCAGACCAGAUGAACUUGCUGUAGGAAUCUCCCCGAAACAAAGCGAUGUACACAGCAUUACUUCCUUCCCGUGCCGACAUAAUGAACGUGGAAAUGAGUGUCCUUGAUGAAGAGCCAAGGGGGUCAGCCUCUGACAGAGGCCAGCAGUGGACAGCAUGUGGUGCCCAGUCCCUGCCUCUGUCUGCUCGGGAAGCUCAGAACUCAGAGCUCGAAAUGGUGAAGGAUGUGGCGUUUCCUGCCUGACUCAGGACAGGUUGGAGGCAGCAUGUCAGUGGUGCAGCUCCCAGACAGGUGCUUUGCAGAACGUGGAACCAAGUCAUUCCCAAAUUGCAGUAUGGAAAGAAUCAAUUCAGACAGGGUUAUGUAUUUGAAGUGAUUGAAAAUACUUCCAACUGGAGAUACUUGUGAGGUUUCAGGAAAGCUCGUUGUGUCUUGGAGAAAGCUGACCUAGCGGAACCAGAACUGUUAUUCAAAAUUAACCUGUUAAACUGAUGGCUCUUGCAGGGGAGACACAGGAAGAAAGCCCCUGUGAAAGAGCAGGCUGGGAGAAAAGUGAAGAGUCUGAAGGCUGGGAGCAGUCAGGUUCAGGUCUGCUUCCACACAGCCCUCCUGUGCCCAUCAUCCAUGAUGUGCUGGGGGAAAAUCUGUCCUUCCUCUGGGCUGAACGAGAGCCAUCCCUGAGCAUCCUGCUGGCUGCAGCACUGCCCUACAGCAGGAGAGGUUCGUGCCCCAGCUGCAGACACACGUGUCCAUGCUGCAGUCACACUCUGUUCCUUCUAUGUGUGUGCAUGGAUUUGGGGGUGAUGCUCUGCAGCUGGGCUGGGAGGCGGUGCACGGCAUGGUUUCUCUGUGGCUGGUUGCAGAAGCACUGAAAAAGCACUGAAAAACUUUCAGAAGUCUGAAAGGCUGGGGUGGCAGCGAGCCUCGGCCGGUUCUGCUGUCCCAGCUGCUGCCUGCGGGGUCGAACGAAGUGCUGGGAGGCAGGGAAGGGCAUUGCUCCAUCUCAGGGAGUGCCUGCUCAGGGCUUGGGGAUGCUCCCGCAGAGCCAGGCAGGGCUGCCAGCUGGCACGGGGCUGCAGUGCCGUCACAAAGGAGGGACAGAUCCGCAGCACAAGCCCCAACAGGGCAGAAAAAGAGAGAACUUGUCCUGGGGAGGCUGCAAGGGGGUUUCCAGUUGGGGCAGCUAACGGAAUUUGGGCUGGAAGGAGGCUUCCUUGCCUUCUGCAGGGAUACAGCCUGGCUCCCCUUAGCCUUCUAACCUAUUGUCAUAGUUUCUAAUCAUCUCCUAGAAACUCCCAUGGUCUUUUGUCCAUUUUUGCUGUCUUUUUCUCAACAGUUUUCAAACGCUGUGCACCACAGAGGGAUUCCUUCGUGUCCAGCUGCCAGCGCCCCUGCUUGUUCCUUGCUCUCUGGUGCCUGGCUCCAGUUGCAGCAGCCCGUGACUCAUUCCAGCCUCCGAGCUGCUCGGAGGAAUUGCCCUGUUAGUGAUUCCUCUUCGUGGCUUUGUGCAAUUCAGGAGCCCUGAAAUUACGUAACUUUGCAGUUGUCCUUGCUGAGCUGCCUGCGUUUUACAAACCAGUGCUCCAAUUUGCCAAAGCUGUUCUGAUUUCUUUCACCAAUGUGCCAGCAUCUCCUUUUACCUUGAGAUCUGCAUGUGAAUUUAAUGCAUCUGUCCCAUCCCCCAUCAGUGGAAAUGGAAAUAACUGCAUGUUCAACCCAGGACCAAUCUUUCAAUCUCCUAAUUUGAUACAUUCUUCAGGACUGAUUUUUGUACCCCUUGAGAUAAUUUUUUUUAUAGGUGGCUUAUGGAAAAUUUGUCACAAUGCUAUUCAAACUCUCAGCUUAUCUCAUGCUAUCUACUAUUUUUUCCCCGUUCUCAAGAGCUGUUAUCCUGUAAAAGGAGGAAAUUAUCAGUUUGACCAUGAGUAGUAGCCAGCGUGGAUUUGUCAGGAAUAAAUCACUUUCUUGCUGUCAGGAUGUUUGUUCUUUCUGAGUCCCUGAAGUUUCAUCUGUUCUCCACGACUUCCCAAACAAGGCCAAAAAUGUUUGGGAAUUCAAGAAAUUCAGCCAACUUUUCAUACCUACUUGGUGAUGAACAGCGUCAGCCCAAACACUUUGGAAAAAAAUCCAAUUCAUCCAAAGAAUCCCCAUUUGUGUUCACCCUCCUUUGUUAUCACUGGUGUUUGUUGUGUUAAGUGCCCUGGUACAGCCGGUGCUUGUGAGGGAGGCAGGAGCAGAGUGGUUGUGCCCUUCUUGCAUCAGAUGUCAGUGCUUUUUGCUUGAGCAGGGCUUAACUCCUUCUUUUGUCUUCCUCUUUCAGUUUAAUAUCAGGGUCCCAAAUGCAGUAUUCACCCAAAUGAGAUUCAAAUGAACCCACGAAGGUCAGUGUAAUUAUAUACAUCUGUCAGACUGAGAGAAAUUCAGUAACAUCGGAGUGAGCAAUGCCCUUCAGUACUUCACUUGAAGCAUUGGCACUUCAGAUCCUUGUUCAGAAAUCAACAGAGGUGAGUUUGGUCUUGUUCUGGUCUUGAGCAGACAAAGGUCAACACCUCGGGGCUACCUUCGUGGGGCCUAGGAAAGCACAGAGGCUCAGGGUCGCAUUUGUGAUACGCUCACAGACGUGGUGAGUUUCCAAACUGACUGCUUGGUUUUAGUCAGUGCCCCUAUUUCCUCACCUUGGUGAGCAAGGGACUCGACAUGGGUGUUUUGUACAGCGGAGGGAAUGCUACAAAAGCUGACAUUAAGCGUAAGGGAUUUUUGUGUUAUCGCCUACUGGUGUGCACAUGACCUGCGGUGAUUCAUAGGCUUCACGAAGGGGGAGAGCAGCUACAAAGAGGGCGAUUUUAGAAAUACCAUCCCGUUGAGCUGUGAGGAGAUCAGACCUAAACAAAUGGAAACAGUUGCUGUACCCUGGCCUUACCGUAAGGCGUUCACAAGCUGCAAAAAAUACAGAAGCUGUGGACUGGGAAGUCAGGAAGGCCAGGGCAGCAGUGAUAAACAUGCAGGGAGGACAGGGAGAAGGCCUCAUAUGUGGAAUUGUGUUGUCAGGGUUUUAAUUUGCUGUGAUUUGGGGGCCCUAGGUAUCAAACAGGUACCUGCCUUGCACCUCGGAGGCUUUUGAGGUUCUCUUGCUAACCAGUCUGUUGGCUGGGUUUUCAAAACAAGCCUGUGCAUUCGGAUUGAGGAAUUUGGUGUCAAAAAAAAAAAAAAAAAAAAGGAUUUAUUUCCUGCCUCAUCACCGUCCUUCCCUGCAAUGGUCAGUGUCAUGUUUCUUACAAACACUUGUAGUGUUUGUCCUGGAACCCGUGCCAAAGGAGCCAUUUUUCUGAUUUAACACCGAUUCCUGUGAGAACUGUGUCACUUCUGGUUUAGCUGGGGGUUUUGAGGUCUCCUCUGUAUAUCCAAAGGAUAUUUAUUUAUCUGUAGAUCUUGAAUGCUGUGAGUGUUAAUAAGCAGUUAAAUAAGCAAAAUCCCUCUCAGGUUGUUCAGAGGAAGGGGAGAAAGAGGUCUUUUUUGGCCUUCUUUUUGGGGCGGAGGGUUGUCCUUUGUCAAAUAGCUCAAAUCCAAGGAGGAGCCAUGCAGAUGGAGAGAGAAAAGCUGGGAGAGAGACUGUGCAGCCUGGAGAACGUGGGUGAGUCUUCCCCAUGUGUACCAACACCUGGUUUGGGACAGUGAAGAUGAACCCAGAGUCAUCUCAGCAGUGCCCAGUGCCAGGACAGGAGUCAGUGGGCACAAUUCCAACAUCCCAUAAGGAAAACUUCUCUGCUUUGAGAGUGAUUGAACCCUGGAGCAGGUUGCAUAGAGAGGCCGUGGAGCCUUCAUCCUCAGAGAUGCUAAAAUCCAUGGGGCUGGUCAAACCCUGCCUGCCACGGCUGGCCCUGCUCUGCCGUGAUGGUUGGGCUUAGCCGAUCUCCAGAGCUUCCUCCCCCCCGCACCCAACUAUUUGGUGAUUUUGCAAACUUGCCAUUGAGUGUGACAGUCAUCAGUUUGCUUUAGAAAAACGCUUCGUGCCUAGACCUGCUGCCUUCCCCCAGAAGUUCCAGUAACUUUGCUCCUGCGUUUCCGUUUGGUGCUGGCUCCCUGCCCGUGUCCUUUUCUGUAAAGUUUAGUUCCUAUCAGUCCUUUCUCAUGCGACAGAAUUUUCCAUUAUUAUUUAAUGAAUGCCCAAAAGCUAUUAUACUGUUUAUUUCCUUAAAAAAUAUCUUAAGAAAAACCUUGCUUUGUGGUCAGUCUUGGCUUCUUAAGUAAACUUUUAUAACCUUUUGGUGUGUUUAUAUUUCCCUCUUUUUUUGUAAUUUGACCUCUCACUUGCCAGGAGGUGGAGUGGAAAUCCCAUGCUCCAGACAGAAAUGCAGUUUGACAUUUCCUGAACCCGUGGAUGCUUCUGUGACUUGCUUCGAAGAGAUCCUGGAUUUCCAACUCGAGGGGCCUGCAGUGCUCACACCUGGGCUCGUCACCUGCCUCAGCUGAAGGAUGGAGCUCCAGUAAACUUUCCCUGAGAGAGUCACCUGGAAACCACAGAGAUAAAAGUGCCUGAGAAAGGAGAUGCCACCGGCAGGAGACAGAGUGUGGAGGGCAAGUUGACAGAUGCAAGCUGUAACGACGUGUAGAGCUCGGUGCAGGCACGUUCUCUGCAGACACUUGGGUUUGUGAUGCUGCCCCUCCUCUGCACAGCACAGCAGUGAGGCACUGACAGACAGACAGACGGCCUGCACGUCUCUGCUUCGUCACAGGUGUGACAGGGGACACGUCCCUCACCCAAAGAAUCAUCUCACGUGCAUUCACAGUGGGCGCCUGGCUGAGCCUGAGCUACAGGAACGAGUUGACCUCCCAGGGCAAGGUUUGCUGCCCUCCUAGCAGAGAAAUGUCCCUGAGAAGGAGACCUUCCCCAGGGCCGUGCCCAGAAAUGAGCUUUCUUAUAACCCACCCUCAGGACCAGUGCUGUCCACAGUGGAGCUGCUUGUGCAAUGGAAACACCACAACCUCCUGAGGGAAAACAUCAGCCUCUAUCCACACAAGACAUCCAACACGUGUCUUGAAGGGUUCUUGCACCCGUGGCUUCUCACCUCUGAAGGUCAGUCUGUCCAGCUGUACCCACAGAGAUUAACACAUUGGAAACCCACAGCAGGCUUGAGCUUCUGACUGAUGUGUAUCAAUGCAGUGAUCAGCUCCAAGCAACAAAAAAAAAAAAAAGGAAUGCCAAGAUUGAAUUUACUGUUCUAUUUGUCUUUUUGUAACUGUUUUGCAGAGUGAAUCACUUAAAAAUAAAUAAAAAACCCUUAUUCUA